GAUGAAGAACGUAGCGAAAUGCGAUAAGUAAUGUGAAUUGCAGAAUUCAGUGAAUCAUCGAGUCUUUGAACGCACAUUGCGCCCCCUGGUAUUCCGGGGGGCAUGCCUGUCCGAGCGUCAUUGCUGCCCUCAAGCACGGCUUGUGUGUUGGGCUCCGCCCCCCUCCCGGGGGGCGGGCCCGAAAGGCAGCGGCGGCACCGCGUCCGGUCCUCGAGCGUAUGGGGCUUUGUCACCCGCUCUGUAGGCCCGGCCGGCGCCCGCCGGCGACCCCAAUCAAUCUUUCCAGGUUGACCUCGGAUCAGGUAGGGAUACCCGCUGAACUUAAGCAUAUCAAUAAGCGGAGGA
rnacentral:misc_RNA from 1 species